CCAGGACUUCACCAAGGGGCAGGAGUGAGCAGAACCGGCCAAACCAGAGGAAAACAGGAGGCUACGCAGGGUGCCCACAGCUGCCCGGUGGCUGCACCUGGGGGAUGUGUUGUCAGCCUGUGGAUUUCCCUUGGGUGGGUCCUGGGCACCACCCUCCCUCGUACAGAAAGCCCUGCUGGGAGCCAGAGAGCCAGGAUCUGUUGCCUUUCUCCCGAAGCCCCCGGCUCAGUGGUGCCAGCAUUGAAGAAAUAUCUACCACAUAAAAAGCACACCGAGGAUCCACAGCUUUCUUUGAAAAAUAAUCUUUAAAUUUAUGCAAAUAAAUUAUCUAUGGCUACAGCUUCUCUUGAAUACCGCAGAAACCAAGAGUCAGAAACGUUAACAAGCCUAAGUUCUUGCAGCGAGGACAUGAUGGAACACGGUUUGAACACAGUUCCUUCCCUUCCAUCCACAGACUCUACUAUGAAAUACUUUCUACACAAAGUGCAAUGAUAGUGCCGACUGCAAUUUCUAAUUCUGCAAAGUGCAAUCUCCUGGAUUUCUUGUUCACUUUAGCAUUGAAACAAACCAAGACCUAUUCACAGUUUUGCCUUUCAGAUGUUGCUCCCCUUAGAUUGUCAUCCACAAACAGGCGAGACGGAAAGCUGUGCAAGUGAAUCCAUAACCCCAAGACAGAACUGCAGGAUUCCUGGUGUUCAACCUUGUUCUCGCCCUUUGCGAAUGGUUCCAGAGCUGCUUGCUGAAUCCUGGGCUCAGAACCUCCUCUGUGACUUAGGUCAUUAUGAGAACGAAUAUACAUAACAAAGGGUACCCCUGAAAGGGCCUCUGACCCCAGCUGUUUAGAUCCAUCUAAACAUGCUUGAAAAUACACAACGUAAACCAUCUCCCUUGUUACCUUGGAAAGCAGUAAGGAUUCUAUGCAGGUUGUGCUAAGGAGAUAUUUAAGAAAAUUUUUUUCCAUACUAAAUGUGUUCAUUUGAAAUACAGAGAUCAUCUUCUCAUUUCUAUAAAUGGGAUCUGACAGGAGAAGCUCCCAAAUAUAAGAAGUGUUUCUUCCACUGCAUUCAAUGGAAAAUGGAGCACGCUAAACAGUGCUAGUGAAACAGACAUUCGUGUGCACACGCGUGCGUGUGCUGUGCGUGCACAUGUGUGUAUUAUUCCACCUGCAAAAUGGAAAUUCUUAGAACACCUUUCAGUAUACAUUUCAAAUAAUAUCACAAUUAAUGACUGGAUUUCAGAAAAUGGCUUCUUUCCAGAUCAUUUCCACAUUCAGGGUAAAAAGUGUUCUUGAGCUUUCUGUGCCCUUGCAGGAGAUGAAGGCAUGCUUGUUCCCUAACAGCACAUUUUUGAGGGAAAUCCACAUUUGCAUCUCACUGUUGGCACCCACAUCUGGGAUGCCCCCACAGCUGCCCCGACAACCCAUCUCUGGGCUCUUGACUGCAGAGGCUCGGAAACGCCAUACCCUUGACCGCAGAGGCUCGGAAACGCCAUACCCUUGACCGCAGAGGCUCGGAAAUGCGAUACCCUUGACCGCAGAGGCUCGGAAAUGCCAUACCCUUGCUUGGCUGCCCUCCUGGUGCUGACGGUGCCUCCGAGAUGUGACCCCGCUCCAGCUGGUGAGUCUAUGGAGCACCUGCUCAGUGGCUUCUGAGCAGAGUCCGGCCUUCUCCAUACUGAUGACUGCUCUUCCUGGAGCCCGUGGCAGGUGGGGCUGCAAUGGCUGACCCACGGCCAGCUGAGAGUGAGAGCCAGCAUGCUCAGAUGCAUGACGCUGGCUUGGGUCCCAACGGGGCUGACCCCAACCCGGUGUGGACAACCUCUUCUGGCUCUCCUCUGCCCUGGUCCCAGUGCAGCUAACAGUGACCCAGCCAUGACAACCUCCUUUGCCCUGGUCCUCGUGUAGCUGACCCCAACCCAGUGUGGACAACCUCCUCUGGCUCUCCUCUGCCCUGGUCCCAGUGCAGCUGACCCUGACCCAGCCGGACCAACCACCUCCGGCUCUCGUCCACUUGGCUCUACCCGUCCUUUGCUAUAACCAGGACUGGGCAGGUUUGAAGGAUGUGCCACCAAAGGCUUCCCAAACAGAACACGAGGAGAAGGCAUCUUAAUAAGGCACCUCCCACGUAAGUCUGGGUGCUUGGAAGUGCAAGAAAGGCCUUCUGCAAGAUGGCAAGCGUAGCACUCGUGUAGUUGACAGUGUGUUGGGGACAAAGACUGGAACAUAGAUUUCUUAAUGCAAAAUGCUAAAAGGAAAUGUAGAGUGUGUGCCAGCUGGGAGGCGGGGAGUGAGCAUUGUUUGUCUGGAGAGCAGAGGGUAAAGGGGGAAAGGCAUUCUGGGAGAGAAGUUUGGGGAAGCAGAGUGGGAAACUGUGAGGGACACCCCAGACAGCUUGAUGUUUAUGCCACAGGCAAAAGAAAAGUACUGCAAGUUCUUAAUCAGGGACUUGUGAGCUGGGAGCUCAGGACGGUCCCUGUGCGUGGGGCCUGGAGGACGAGGUGCCUGAAUGCAGGAAGUGGUGUCCUGGACACAGACCCCGAGAGGCUCCUGCAGACUUGAGCUGGUUUCUCAUGAGACACCAAAGGGCUUGGAUUUUAGGGACAGAGCCCACAGGAAUGAGGAAUGUGUUAGAGGUGAGAUGAUUCCAAGGCGCCUAGACUUCUCCCAACAAAGGCAAGAUCUAUGAUAGGAAGAAAAACAGGUUUUGGAGGUUGGACCUGAGUUUGAUUUGGACCUGCUGAUUCUAGGGCACUUCCAAGAAGUCUGUGAAAGAACAGAGCAAGUGUGACGGGCAGGGCUGUGAACCUCUGAGUGCUUCAGAUGUAAAAGUGUGGAAGACGUCGGGCUGUGAGUGUCACGCAGCAGAAAGGUGGAGGAGGCCUCUCAGGUGAGGCGGGGCCACGAAGGGAAUCCAGGAGGAAAGUGAGAGGGGCGUGGGGCGGGGGACGCUCCUGGGCACCCGAGGGACAGGAGGAGCCCGGCCCCGGAGCAGAUGCUGAGAAAUCAAGUGGAAUGAGAUGGGGAAAGACCGUCAGAUGCAGCAAGCUGGGGUCAUUUUUAAAAAGGACAGUUUCAGUGGAUAUGGGUGCAGAAAUGAGAUCGCAGACGUUAAGGUAAGAAAAUGGAAGUAUGAGUGGAACUUUUGAACAACUUGUCAGGAACAGCAGAGAGGACAGGCGAUUUGAGAAAGGCUGUGAGUUUUCUUGGAUGGGGGGAUGAAGCAACGUGAACAUUUAUUUUUAGAAGGUGAAAAUAAGACACCAUGGGAAAGACACUCAAAGAGGCGGGCCUGGGAUCAUUUUUCCUGUCUACAGGAAACGCUAUGCUGAGGCCAACAGUGUGCUUGGCCGUGAAAUGUGCUUUACAGGUCGGAAGUAACAUGGUGCGCAGAAGGCAGUUUGUAUGCACAGUGGAGCACAUGUGUUGAUGCCUGAAAGCCCACAUUGAGAUCCUGGCUCAACCUCUCGCCAACGGUGUCAUUUGGACAAAUCUCUUAAUCUAUGCAACGUACAAUGAGGACAGUAGUCACAGGACAUAACUUAUGGAGUUCUGUGAAUAUAAGGUAAGAAUGUUACAUGCAAUACAAGUAUAAUACAUGGUGAGCACUUACUUAAUGUUAACACAUACUAUGUUUAACUUGUCCUUGCAAGACCUGUAUUGUGACUCGAGAUUUUAGCAUUUGGUAGAUGUCUCAGAAACAACUGGUCUGAAGAAAAUAUUUCAACUGUUUAAAUUUUUCUUAAAAGAACAAGGUAAACUUACCAAAAAAUUUAUUUUUCUUUCUUACAUAGAAAUGAAACAGAAAAAUAUAUACCCAUUAAAUUGUAUUAAUUGAGAGAAAAUUGAUAGACAGUGAAAGGCACAGGUCUCACUUGUAGGACUCAGUGAGUUUUGACAGAUGUUGACUGUGGCCUCCACCCGUAUCCUCUUGGGCAUGUUGUAUUGUCAUUCUUUUUAACUUAGGCCAUUCUAGUGAAAUUGAAGUGUAUCCCAAUAAAGUUUUCACUUUCACCUCCUGGAUGACUAAUUCUUAUUGGACAUUUGUGUAUCUUCUUUUGCA
rnacentral:tRNA from 10 species